rnacentral:lncRNA from 1 species
GCUUUUUCCUGUAUUUUCUCCAAUCUCUGAAUAGAAUGUUAAUGUGUUAUUCACCAAGGUUUCAUCAAUACUCUCCUGCAAUUUUCUGAUCAAUCUGGAUACCAAAAAAUACAGGAAAAAGCAGUGAUCAAUAAAGGGUUGUCAAAAAGGAGGGAUUUUGGUUGAGAUGAAACAGUGGUUUGGUGAUUUGACACAUAAUAUUGCUUGCAAAAUGGUGGGAGGGAAGUUAUAUUAAGUAGAUGGCGAAGGUGAAGCUAGGAAGUAUAAGGAAGCAAUGAGAGAUUGGAUGUGUUUGUUUGUCUGAUGCCAUCCCUUUUCUGCAAUAAAUAUUAAGCAUUUUGUGCAUAGAUGAUUCAGCAAGUGGAAAUGGUGCCAGAGAUGGCUAAGCAUUUAUUCUUUUUGGGUUCGUACCCUACUAAAUGCAAAAAAAAAAAAAAAAAAAGUUUUUUUUCUUCUGUAUUUUUUGACACGUGACACCAUUAACUAUUUAAUAAAUUUUAUUUAAUUUAAGACCUAUCCUGGUAACAUAAAUUUUGAUAUGUAUUUUCAGCAAGUGGAAAUGGUGCCAGAGAUGGCUAAGCAUUUAUUCUUUUUGGGUUCGUACCCUACUAAAUGCAAAAAAAAAAAAAAAAAAGUUUUUUUUCUUCUGUAUUUUUUGACACGUGACACCAUUAACUAUUUAAUAAAUUUUAUUUAAUUUAAGACCUAUCCUGGUAACAUAAAUUUUGAUAUGUAUGACAAGGGGAACAGAAUGUUUCCCAUGAAGAAAAAAACUGGAGGAAAUAAUGUGAGGUAAU